ACGUUGCAAACCGAGCGAUAAAACCAGUUUGAUUAUCGAAUAACUAAAUUAUUUUAGGCAAUACAUAAUUGCGCCAUGCAUGCAUGCAUGCAUUGCAUGAACGGUGGGGUCGAUCCCUUGUUCAAGGAGGAAGCUAUAGGAUAGAGAUCGAACACGCAGACUAACAUCAUUACAUGGACGCAGAUAUGAAGGCCACUAGUUGUGCUUCUCCUGGGUGUAGAUGUAGUCGGUGUGCGCCGCGAGCGUCCUCCUCGCCAUGCACUCAUCCCGCUGCUUCUCGCCGGCCCUCAUCUCGCACUCGUGGUCUUCCGCCGCCGCCGCCGCGACCUUCUGCAAGAAAGAAGAAACACACAACGGGGUCGGUUUGAAAAGAUCAGAAAUCGAUGGAGAUCGGCCGAGAGUCCUUGAAAACCUUUCACAUCGAUCCUGCGCGCGCGUGCGUACCUCGUUGGGAGAUGCCGUUGCCACGUCCUUGGGCGAGGUCCGGGCGGCCGUGGCGCCCGCGGGGCCGGAGGCGAGGAGGAGGAGGACGGCGAGCGCGGCCACGAGCACCAGUGUCGUUGCCCUCGCCAUGGAGGUCCGGUGACGGCUACUCUUGUUUUGGAACGGAUUGAUGAAUCGUGCAGUUUUUCUGCCGGAGGCUCGUAGUUGGGACUGUGGGCGGAAUGGAUGGUACUGUAUUUAAAGAGGUAGAGGGGGAGCAUGGAAAUAGCGGAGCCGUUUUGCAGGUCCAGGAGCAUGGAAAUAGCAGGCGCGCACUGGGCUGCCACAUGUGCUGGCCCCUUACACGUGGCCCUUGCUACGCGUAGGCCAGUCUGUCGGUGAUUGUCUAUCUGUGAUGAUGAUCUACUGAAGGCAAAUUUCUGGCUCAGGGCGUAAUUAAAUCCAAGAAUGUUUUUACUACUGUACAUAUUCCCGGCUCACAACUUGUUCAACGGUCAAACGGCUGGGUGUGGUGGAUCGAGUAUCGCGGGCGCGUGCUUACCUUACCCGAAUGGCUGCAUGUCCGGUGGCUCUAAUGCGGGCCGAUCCGCCCGUCCGCACGCGCGUGCAACAUGACUCGUGGAUUAAUGACCAUUUUUUUUUUGAGUUUUUUCAAGAAAAUUGGUCUGAUUUCCUAUUCGACACUUCAGACAUCUGUUACUGUGCAUUUUGCAAAUGGACGCGUACCCUUUCUGUCGUGGAAUUGUCAUGAAAGGACUUAGUCGUGGAGCCAUCGCAACUAGGAAGUUUAAAGGAGUUAAUCAGGAUAAAGGACACGGGGUUUAUACUGGAUCGGCCCCUUAUGGUGAAGGUAAGAGCAUACGAUCCAGUUUUGAGUGAGAUUGCUUAUGUCUCGAUUACCAGGGAGUGAAAUCACUUGACCUAGCUCUCGAUCUGAUGUUACUUGCCCUGAACUGCGGCCGGGUCGUCCCUUUAUAUACAGAGGUCGACGUCCAACGGCUCAUAGAGUCCCGAUCGGCCCAUAAACAGUGUCCGGCUCGGUCUCUAACUAUUCUUGCCUUACAAUACAAGUCAUGUACAUAUGAUGGUUUAUCUCUUACGGAUCUUAAAGCGCCUCUGGGCUUUGGGCCCUUAACUGAACCGUCAUCUUCAGGCCUUGUCUUGGGCUUCAAGAGUCUUCAUAGAUAUAACCCGGCCCCUCCUAGACGGGUCAUACCUAAUAGUUAUAUCCCCAACAUUAGGCACCAGAUUGAUUUGAACUGGUUCAUGUCAAUCUUCAACACUUAAGAAAAAAUUUCUGCUUCUUUGCUUGUAUGAAAUUUUUGUAACGCGCCAUGACAUCAUCCUUUGGAUUUGUGAUUACCCGCCAUGACGUCAUCUGCCAUUAAUGCACCUUUUUAUCCAACGUAUUGUAACACCCACGAUGCGGCUAUAUCUCCCACGUGUCGAAGCACGACUUAGAGGCAUAACCGCAUGGUGGUUUUGUCGCAAGAAGGGCCAUCUUCACACAAUCCCAUGUAAUGAACAAGAAUGGGAUAAAGAGUUGGCUUACAAUCGCCACUUCACACAAUGAACAUAUAAUUCAUACAUCAUUCAGAGUACAUACAUAGUCCGACUAUGGACGAAGCCAAAAGAAAAGAAGACAACCCAACUGCUAGAUCCCUGAUCAUCCCAACUGGGCUCCACUACUGAUCAUCAAGAAACGAAACAUAGCAACGACCAAGAUCUUCGUUGAGCUCCCAUCUGAGCUCGGUUGUAUCACCUGCACUGGUAUCAUCGGCACCUGCAACUGUUGUGAUAGUAUCUGAUGAGUCACGAGGACUCAACAAUCUCAAAACCCGCGAGUUCAAGACUAUUUAAGCUUAUAGGUAAGGAAUGGAUAAGUGGUGAGGUUGCAGCAGCGACUAAGCAUGAUAUGGUGGCUAACAUACGCAAAUAAGAGCGAGAAGAGAAGCAACGGAACGGUCGUGAAGCUAGCAAUGAUCAAGAGGUGAUCCUAAACUCCUACUUACGUCAAACAUAACCCAAAACCGUGUUCACUUCCCGGACUCCGCCGAAAAGAGACCAUCACGGCUACACACUCGGUUGAUGCGUUUUAAAUCGAAUCUGGUGUCAAGUUCUCUACAACCGGAUAUUAACAAAUUCCCAUCUGCCACAUAACCGCGGGCACGACUCUCGAAAGUUUAAACCCUGCAGGGGUGUCCCAACUUAGCCCAUCACAAGCUCUCACGGUCAACGAAGGAUAUUCCUUCUCCCAGGAAGACCCGAUCAGUCUCGGAAUCCUGGUUUACAAGACAUUUCGACAAUGGUAAAACAAGACCAGCAAGACCACCCGACUGUGCCGACAAAUCCCGAUAGGAGCUGCACAUAUCUCGUUCUCAGGGCACACCGGAUAAGCUAAGCGUACAGGUACCGAUGUAAUCCAAGUUGCCAAGGAAUGCUCCCGCACGGUGCUCUAGUUUGUACCAACACUCAGAGGAGCACUGGCCCGGGAGGGGGGGGGGUAAAUAAAGAUGACCCUUGAGUCUGUAGAACUCAAGGGAAAAAGGCUUAGGUGGCAAAUGUUAAAACCAAUAUUGGGCCUUCCUGGAGGAGUUUUAUUCAAAGCCAACUGUCAAGGGGGUCCCAUAAAUCACCCAACCGCGUAAGGAACGCAAAAUCAAGGAACAUAACACCGGUAUGACGGAAACUAGGGCGGAAAGAGUGGAACAAAACACUAGGCAUAAGGCCGAGCCUUUCACCCUUUACCAAGUAUAUAGAUGCAUUAAUUAAAUAAGAGAUAUUGUGAUAUCCCAACAUAAUCCUGUCCAACAUGGAGCAAUCUUCAACUUCACCUGCAACUAGCAACGCUAUAAGAGAGGCUAGGCAAAAGCGGUAACAUAGCCAAGCAACGGUUUGCUAGGAAGGGUGAAAAGGUUAGAGGCUGACAUGGCAAUAUGGGAGGCAUGGCAAACAAGUGAUAGGUAGCGCAUGAUAGCGAUAGAACGAAGCAACUAGCAAGCAAAGACAGAAGUGAUAUCGAGGGUAGUGGUCAUCUUGCCUGAGAUCCCGCAAGGAAGAACGAGUCCAUGAAGAAGACAAACGGACGUAGUCGAACGAAUCCUCACAACUCCUGAAUGAAACCUAAGCUAACGAGAGAAGCAAACCGGAAAGAAGCAAACAACAUGGUAAACACACAAGCAUAAACAUAGCAUGAUGCACAAACAAGUAUGAUGCAUGUCCGGUUUAAUGAGGCAUGGCAUGGCAAAGUGCAACAAACAAUACUACAAAUUAAGUGGAGCUCAAUAUGAAACGAGUUGCAUAUUGACGAAACACCACAUCGAGUUAUUUAGUUCACUCUCGUUUAGGUACACAACAAUAUUAAAUGUGGUUAAACAUGGCAAGAGGUGAAGCAUAAUUAAUCUAACUAUUUAGGCAAGUUUAAAUGAGGCCGGAAACACAAACAACAAUUCCGGAAAAUCCCCAUGUUAUUUAGCAAUUUAAAGCAAACAACAUUUUAACAUUUUAAAUGUUGUUAUCAUUAUGCGGAUGACAUAUGCAAGUUUUAUGCAAUUUUAUGAAAACCUCGACAUGAGCAUGUUAUGAAGCAUUUGUCACCGUGGCGGAACAAAACGGUUGCCACGGCAACGAAUCCGAAAAUGAUGCCACGGCAACAUAUCGGUUCCGGUAGCUCACGGAUAUACCGGUGCAAAAGGAAGUGGGCGUGAGCGUGUCAUGCAAGGAUGGUGGGGUGAUCCCGGAUUCUGGGUUCCCACGGGACGGUGGCAUGGCCAACGAGGAGGGACAUGCAUGAAGCAAACAGGCACGGUGCAAACAUAGGGUGCAUCUCAUACAACAUAUAUAUUUGGUCCACGGACGUCGUCUCGGGGUUAUACCUUCGAAGCUGGCAGAAUGAGUUUGGUGCAAUGUAGAGGAAGUAGACGUUCUCGCAGCGGUCGUAGAGGAAGUAGUUGUACACGUUCGUCUCGGAGAGGUACUUGACGAAUCCAACAUCUUCGGGGCGACGGUAGUGGUUCACGGAAGUCGUGGAAGUAGUCAUUCAUGGCAACGGUAGAGGUACUCGCGAUCUUGGUGACGGUAGUGGUACAUCUCGUAGUGGAACUUGGUGAUCCGAAGGGGUACUUGGUGGUAUCCCCGUAGUCAUACACGGUCAUAGGGGAACUUGAUGUGGAGGUAGCCGACCAAGGUUGUCAAGUAGUCGUACUCCAUGAUGAUCGUCGGGGUACUUGGCAGGUUCUAGUGCAGUAGCGGAAUGGCACAGGAGGCAGGGGUCUCCAAGGGUCAUCUCUGCACUUGCCGUGCCACUUCUGAAGGUGACCCGAGGCGAUUUGACGAAGGUGCUAACCACGUAGAUGCAUCGAUGGUGCUCGGAGGCAGCAGCAGGGUAGGAGGGAGACGAGGUCAGUCGAUGGACGGCAGCAGCGCCAUGGGAGGCAGCCGAAGGAAGCAACAACUCAGGCGUCGGGGUAUAGGGCAGAGCAGAAGCGAGGCAGGCUUGCAGAGCAGCAGCGGCGAGGCGAACCAGGCCGGCGGAGGCGCAGGAGGGCGACGAAGCAGCAGAGGCGUGGGCGUCAGGCCAUGGUGACGGGGAGAUGAUGCAGAGGAGGGUCGGAGGCACCGGAAGCGGACGACGGAGGGGCAUGUGGAGGUGACCGACGGGCACCAACUCGGGGAGCUCUUGCUCAAACCCGAUCGCGGAGGGAGGCACGGGGCUGCAGGCCUCGGGCAGCGAGGAGGCGCCAUGGAGGAGGAGAGGAAGGAGGCCGGCUGAUACGGGAGGUUGCUGGGGUCCCGUUCCUGCCAGUUCAAAGCGAAGGCAGGCCGACGGACUUGGGGCUCGGGCAGCAGCAAGGAGGCGAUGGUGGUGGUCAGCGGCAGGAAGCGGUCACCGGGCUUGUGGUGACAACGACGACGAACAGAGGCGCGCGGAGAAGCAGUCGUCUGGCGAUGGAGCAGAGGCGUCCAUGGCCAGCGACCCAAGGCGUUGAAGAUGACCGGAUCCGGGCCAGCUCGGGUUGGGGAGGCGAGGCCGGACAUGAGGACGAGGCAGAGGAGGAGCUGUAGAGGAGUGGCUAGAGAGUCGAUUGGGCGACGCUCACCGGAGUCGGGCCGAAAGGGACGGGUCGAGGGGCUCCUCCCCUGGCGACGGAGCUGACGAGGCGAAGGCGCCGGGUAGACGAGGAGGCAGGCGAGGAGGUCCUGGCCCGGUGGCGAGCUUGAGGGGAUCGGGCACGGGCGCAGGUGCUCCUCUCGUGUGCGAUGCGUGUGUGUGUGUGUGUGGCGGCGGGUAGAGGGAACGAGUGGGAGAGAGAUGCGUGGGGGCUGGGAUCGGUCGGGGCUAGGGUUAACAGUGGUGUAGGUGGGCUUAAGGGGAAUUGGGCCGGUCUGGGCUGCGGGCUAGAGUUGGUGGGUUGCUCUCUCUUCCAAAAACAGAAGAGAAAUAAUAGAAGGAAAGAAAAGGAGAGAAAACAAGAUGUUAGAGAAGCAAUUUGGGAAUGGAGUUAAUUUUCUUGGGCUCAUCGAAAAGGUCUUGAUCCAGAAAAAUUGCAAAGAUACGUGUUGAAGGGACUGAAUACAACCUCAUUUGAAUUACAUUCAAAAGAGUUUAAAUAGGAAGUGGGAGUUUGGAAGGUCCAAAAAUGUUCGGAUUUUUGGUGGAGCUCCGGAAUAUGAUGAAAGAAUAUAUGGCAAGGUUGGGGACCAAGAAUUAAGAUAACAAAGGCAUUGGGAUAAUUUGCAAGUGUGUUGCGGUUAAUUCCAAAUAAAUGGAAUAAAUUUAUUAUAGCUCCCUAAUAUUGGGAGGAUAUGUUAUAAAGAGAAGUCACCCUGUGAAUUCCCUCGAUUUAAAUAGAUCAAAGAUCCAUACAAUUUUAUUUAGAUGCGUUUUUAAAAGGGGUGCAAGAUGACAUGAUGCAAUGCACAUGAUGCAGAGAUGAAUGCACGAACAAAACAAAAUCACACGAUGAAACUCGGAAAACAUGGAAGGCAUCUGGAGCGCCGGUCUUGGGGCGUCACAACACUCCACCACUACAAGAGGAUCUCAUCCCGAGAUCUAGGAUGGCACCGGAGAGAAACGGAAGAGGAAGAGAAGAGGUAAAACUAAGUUGCUUCUUUGACAAACGAGUGAAACCACGAACCUUGAGAGGGUGAAAAGUUGAAGGAAAAAACACAACGGAGUUGAACACAAUUGAGAGCACAGCGGUAGAAAAUAGAAACACGGAACACCAUGUGAACCUCGGAGGUUGCAAAGCUAUGAAUGAUGAUUACAAUGGACAAGAUGGAAUUGGAACCACUCUGGUUGAAAUGAGAUAAACAAGGAACAAGGAAGAUCAAAUUCGGACAGCACUCCGGUUGUACAUGGAAGGAAUAGAGCAUGAACUUGAGAAGAUGGGAUGAUACUUGGUGAAAUCAAAAACACACUGCCUCUGAAACUAUUGAAAGAAUGGCACUAUGGGUAAGAAGGAUUUCAGACAGCACUCAGGUUGAAAAGAGAGGCAAAACUUGAUAAGAUGAAAGAACUUGAAUGAGAAUAUAACACUCCGGUUAAAUGGAUAAGCACGAAAAGAACAUGAUCCUCACAAUUCGAGAUGAUGAGUGAAAAGAGCAACAUCACAAUGCUUCCGGAAGAAAGAAUAGAAGAUAGAUCAUUGGAAUAACAGAAUGAAGAAGAAAAUGCCAACUUCUGCCACAAAUGAGCUUGGAAAGCACCCUUCCAAGAAGGUUAUAACGGAGUUGUUUGAAACCAACAACGAAACGUAUAAGCUUGUAGUGGGCUUAUGGAAAACAUCUCAAAAUUAUGAGGUGACAACCGUCCACUAACGAAAACAAUUGCUUGCUUGAGAUCAACGAAGAGAUGAAAAUUGCUUUUGCCAAGAGGAUAGGAGAAAACUUGGAUCAUUGAUAAGCACCACAAUACAACAUUCCUUAGGGAAGGCUUUAGGUGAAAUCUAUACCAAGAUAACUCCAACGAAGAGAUUGAUGGAUUUAAAAUACCUCGUUCUUGACAACAUGUGAAUCAUGAAACACGAAGGUAAAUUAUCAAGAAUGACAUAACACCACCUCAAAAGAUAAGGUAGAAAGAAUUGCACUUCAGCAUGCAACAUGAAGAAUGCUUGAACGCCUCAAAACAAAACAUGUGUUGAACACCAUGUUUAUUUUAGAGUAUAGCUUAACGGGUCAUAACUUCGAGAGAAAUCUUGAAGAACAAUUGAAGAAUGAAAGGAAUCCUUGACGAACCACCAUGUAGAGCCUCCAUGAAGAACUCCGGUAAAAAAAAGGAUGAUAAAAAGAAAGGGAAGUUGAAAACACAAGGUGAAGCCUUGCAAUGAUUUAGAUGGAGCUUCGCGGCGAGAUAGUGUGGAAAACUUGGAACUCCGGAAAAGAAAAGAUGAAGCAUCUCGAACCGAGAAAAAUGACAUGAUGAACAACUCUGGAAAGAAGAAACUAGAUUACUUGGAUGAAACAAUAAUAAGAAUUAGGUUAUGCCUAUCCUUCACCAAUUUAAAUUGAUGACAAGCAACGGAUUUGGCAUACUACUUAUUCUAGUAGAAAGGAUUAAGAGGGAUAUAGCGUAAACUUGAGAAGGUCUUCAACGAACCGUCGGUAGGAUUGGAAAGAACGAAUGAAUUGAUAUGAUAACCAAGGAAGAGAACUCUUGAACGAACCACCGCAAGAAUUGAAAAUGAAAGUAGCAAAGGCACAAUUCACUGGGAAGAGUUGGAAAACGAAUGAAGAUACUUGAGGGGAUUUAGAUACAUGAGAACGAAGAGAUUAUGAACCAAUUAGAGGAUAUUCGAACGAUGCACCGGAAGUAUUCAAGAAUGAGAGCUGAAAGCUGAGAAUGAGUAAUUCUGAGAUGAUUGGCUCCGGAGAAUGAAACUGAAAAGACUCCUGAAUUGCUCCGGAUGGGUGAAAAGAAUUCUCACAAUCGAAAGCAAUUAUGAGAGGAUGGCAUCACGCUAGAACCAUGAAUCUUCAAGAGAACGGACAAGAUUUAAGAGAACCUCUUAUUCGGUCUUCACAUGCUGAGAAUGACGACGAGAAACACCACCAUGAAUUGUUGAGACACUCCGGAAGGAUUAAAAAAAGGUUGAGCCAAAAAUGAAAAGAAUUUGAAAACGAACUUGGAGAAGGCAUUUGACUGAUGAAAAUUCAUUCUUAUGUCAAACUUGGAAAUUAAUUUGGAAUAGCUCCGGAAUAAUUAGAAGAGCCAGGUAAGAUCCUAGGAAAAGACCUGUGGGUUAGGGCCCACUCAAAAGAAACAUCAUUGAAGGAUUGCUUGAAAUAGAGAUUGCACCAGUAGAAUUAAAUAGCUUGAAUGAGAGAAAAACCCUCGAAGUAACUUGAACGAAUUAAGAAUGGAAACAUGAUUCUUCUGAGCUAUCGUUAGCACUCUGGAUACGAAUAGAGAGAGGUGAACGAUUAUGAGAUGCACCGGCAUGGGAUAGCAUUUGAAACGAGGAAAGGGAUAUGAUCCAGACCAAAAGCUUGAAUUAGAUCCACCGGAGAAGAAAAGAGAACGGAGGAUGAUGAACUCAAAGCUCCGUUAGUAUCUUUCUGAGACUCACCAGAUAAGAACAUUAAAAGAAACAAAUGAAGAGACUUCUCACAAAUAAAAGGGAUACAUGAUUAAGAAAUCUGAGUCCUUGAAGAAAAAGGGGUGGGAGGGCGGGAAACAAAGGCAACUUGGGGAGGAUGAAACAAACACCAUUGAGAAAAACUUAGAAUUGAUCUUGCGGAUGGUGAAAUGAUAGGAUCCACUUGAAGAGAAGCACGCCGGUUGGGAAAAGAAUUAACAUGACGAUCUCGAUGAUCAAGAAGGAUUAGUAUUCACAUAGCAAUAUGAGAACACCGUUUAUGAAAGGUAUGGAUUCAACAUUUGACUUCGAAGCAACUCGAAUACCACAAAUAAAACAAAACAAAGGAUUUGGCUUGCAGAAUAAGCCAGAACAAACAUAUGAUAGAGAUUUCGUCCGAAGUUUUCGUGGUGGGGCCCACACGGGCUCGAUCGUACAGCACCAUCAUGUACAAGGCAGUGCACAUGACAUACGAAGUGUCCCCGAACCAGCAUAACCAAGGGCUCUUUAAUACACAACGAGACCACUAUAAAAAUGACCGUGGAUAGGCGGACCACUAGACGUCGAACCCCAAUCUCAUAUCAUGCAUCUGUCGGAAAGAAAAAAAACUAGAGCUACUUGAAUUCCCACCUAUAAAACUCCCGAAACUUUCUGGUUAUGCAAUCUGGUGUUGGGGAUAUAGGGGAAGCAAUAUAUAUCUCACCCAAAACUAACAAUCCCUACAUCCAAGCUAUAUCCAUCCGUCAACACAUAACCAAGAAACCUUCGGAAAUCGUGUACCUCAACCUUCGAAAAGCAUCCGUUAUACAAGCUAUGGCAAUACUCCCGAACUCCCCAGUACUGGGUGGCGUCGAGGUUAUCUCACCAACAACUGCAUAAAAGAGAUUUUCGAUGUCGGCAAAACUCAGGUAUUCCAGAACUGCAAUGAUAAAAUUAUGACGACAACACCUCGGAGCUCAACUCCCCGGGACACUGUCACAACCCCUAAAUGUCAGGAGGCACCAAGAACAAUGUUCUCGUCAUAAGAAUAUCAGAACGAUCCCAAGAUACCCGCGUGAUCCUAAAACAAAUUAGUGAAAUUUGAGGCGAGGAAAGACAAAACAUCUAUGUCAGGAGGCCUCACCAGAGCGACGAAGGGGCUGAGGAGUAAAAAGAAUCCUACUCUCUGAUAUAUAUAAUCCUAAGACUCAAAACAUUUUUGUUCUAGACUCAACAAUGCCAGUGAUUCGAUCAAGCAGGGGGCUCCUAAGUCGGGGAUGGCUCUGAUACCAACUUGUAACACCCACGAUGCGGCUAUAUCUCCCACGUGUCGAAGCACGACUUAGAGGCAUAACCGCAUGGUGGUUUUGUCGCAAGAAGGGUCAUCUUCACACAAUCCCAUGUAAUGAACAAGAAUGGGAUAAAGAGUUGGCUUACAAUCGCCACUUCACACAAUCCCAUGUAAUGAACAAGAAUGGGAUAAAGAGUUGGCUUACAAUCGCCACUUCACACAAUGAACAUAUAAUUCAUACAUCAUUCAGAGUACACACAUAGUCCGACUACGGACGAAGCCAAAAGAAAAGAAGAUAACCCAACUGCUAGAUCCCUGAUCAUCCCAACUGGGCUCCACUACUGAUCAUCAAGAAACGAAACAUAGCAACGACCAAGAUCUUCGUUGAGUUCCCAUCUGAGCUCGGUUGUAUCACCUGCACUGGUAUCAUCGGCACCUGCAACUAUUAUGAUAGUGUCUGGUGAGUCACGAGGACUCAGCAAUCUCAAAACCCGCGAGAUCAAGACUAUUUAAGCUUAUGGGUAAGGAAUGGAUAAGUGGUGAGGUUGCAGCAGCGACUAAGCAUGAUAUGGUGGCUAACAUACGCAAAUAACAGCGAGAAGAGAAGCAACGGAACGGUCGUGAAGCUAGCAAUGAUCAAGAGGUGAUCCCAAACUCCUACUUACGUCAAACAUAACCCAAACUCGUGUUCACUUCCCGGACUCCACCGAAAAGAGACCAUCACGGCUACACACUCGGUUAAUGCGUUUUAAAUCGAAUCUAGUGUCAAGUUCUCUACAACCGGAUAUUAACAAAUUCCCAUCUGCCACAUAACCGCGGGCACGGCUCUCGAAAGUUUAAACCCUGCAGGGGUGUCCCAACUUAGCCCAUCACAAGCUCUCAGGGUCAAUGAAGGAUAUUCCUUCUCCCAGGAACACCCGAUCAGUCUCGGAAUCCUGGUUUACAAGACAUUUCGACAAUGGUAAAACAAGACCAGCAAGACCACCCGACUGUGCCGACAAAUCCCGAUAGGAGCUGCACAUAUCUCGUUCUCAGGGCACACCGGAUAAGCUAAGCGUACAGGUACCGAUGUAAUCCAAGUUGCCAAGGAAUGCUCCCGCACGGUGCUCUAGUUUGUACCAACACUCAGAGGAGCACUGGCCCGGGAGGGGGGGGGGUAAAUAAAGAUGACCCUUGAGUCUGUAGAACUCAAGGGAAAAAGGCUUAGGUGGCAAAUGUUAAAACCAAUGUUGGGCCUUGCUGGAGGAGUUUUAUUCAAAGCCAACUGUCAAGGGGGUCCCAUAAAUCACCCAACCGCGUAAGGAACGCAAAAUCAAGGAACAUAACACCGGUAUGACGGAAACUAGGGCGGCAAGAGUGGAACAAAACACUAGGCAUAAGGCCGAGCCUUCCACCCUUUACCAAGUAUAUAGAUGCAUUAAUUAAAUAAGAGAUAUUGUGAUAUCCCAACAUAAUCCUGUCCAACAUGGAGCAAUCUUCAACUUCACCUGCAACUAGCAACGCUAUAAGAGGGGCUAGGCAAAAGCGGUAACAUAGCCAAGCAACGGUUUGCUAGGAAGGGUGAAAAGGUUAGAGGCUGACAUGGCAAUAUGGGAGGCAUGGCAAACAAGUGAUAGGUAGCGCAGGAUAGCGAUAGAACGAAGCAACUAGCAAGCAAAGACAGAAGUGAUAUCGAGGGUAGUGGUCAUCUUGCCUGAGAUCCCGCAAGGAAGAACGAGUCCAUGAAGAAGACAAACGGACGUAGUCGAACGAAUCCUCACAACUCCUGAAUGAAACCUAAGCUAACGAGAGAAGCAAACCGGAAAGAAGCAAACAACAUGGUAAACACACAAGCAUAAACAUAGCAUGAUGCACAAACAAGUAUGAUGCAUGUCCGGUUUAAUGAGGCAUGGCAUGGCAAAGUGCAACAAACAAUACUACAAAUUAAGUGGAGCUCAAUAUGAAACGAGUUGCAUAUUGACGAAACACCACAUCGAGUUAUUUAGUUCACUCUCGUUUAGGUACACAACAAUAUUAAAUGUGGUUAAACAUGGCAAGAGGUGAAGCAUAAUUAAACUAACUAUUUAGGCAAGUUUAAAUGAGGCCGGAAACACAAACAACAAUUCCGGAAAAUCCCCAUGUCAUUUAGCAAUUUAAAGCAAACAACAUUUUAAAAUUUUAAAUGUUGUUAUCAUUAUGCGGAUGACAUAUGCAAGUUUUAUGCAAUUUUAUGAAAACCUUGACAUGAGCAUGUUAUGAAGCAUUUGUCACCGUGGCGGAACAAAACGGUUGCCACGGCAACGAAUCCGAAAAUGAUGCCACGACAACAUAUCGGUUCCGGUAGCUCACGGAUAUACCGGUGCAAAAGGAAGUGGGCCUGAGCGUGUCAUGCAAGGAUGGUGGGGUGAUCCCGAAUUCUGGGUUCCCACAGGACGGCGGCAUGGCCAACGAGGAGGGACAUGCAUGAAGCAAACAGGCACGGUGCAAACAUAGGGUGCAUCUCAUACAACAUAUAUAUUUGGUCCACGGACGUUGUCUCGGGGUUAUACCUUCGAAGCUGGCAGAAUGAGUUUGGUGCAAUGUAGAGGAAGUAGACGUUCUCGCAGCGGUCGUAGAGGAAGUAGUUGUACACGUUCGUCUCGGAGAGGUACUUGACGAAUCCAACAUCUUCGGGGCGACGGUAGUGGUUCACGGAAGUCGUGGAAGUAGUCAUUCAUGGCAACGGUAGAGGUACUCGCGAUCUUGGCGACGGUAGUGGUACAUCUCAUAGUGGAACUUGGUGAUCCGAAGGGGUACUUGGUGGUAUCCCCGUAGUCAUACACGGUCGUAGGGGAACUUGAUGUGGAGGUAGCCGACCAAGGUUGUCAAGUAGUCGUACUCCAUGAUGAUCGUCGGGGUACUUGGCAGGUUCUAGUGCAGUAGCGGAAUGGCAUAGGAGGCAGGGGUCUCCAAGGGUCAUCUCUGCACUUGCCGUGCCACUUCUGAAGGUGACCCGAGGCGAUUUGACGAAGGUGCUAACCACAUAGAUGCAUCGAUGGUGCUCGGAGGCAGCAGCAGGGUAGGAGGGAGACGAGGUCAGUCGGUGGAUGGCAGCAGCGCCAUGGGAGGCAGCCGAAGGAAGCAACAACUCAGGCGUCGGGGUGUAGGGCAGAGCAGAAGCGAGGCAGGCUUGCAGAGCAGCAGCGGCGAGGCGAACCAGGCCGGCGGAGGCACAGGAGGGCGACGAAGCAGCAGAGGCGUGGGCGUCGGGCCAUGGUGACGGGGAGACGAUGCAGAGGAGGGUCGGAGGCGCCGGAAGCGGACGACGGAGGGGCAUGUGGAGGUGACCGACGGGCACCAACUCGGGGAGCUCCUGCUCAAACCCGACCGUGGAGGGAGGCACAGGGCUGCAGGCCUCGGGCAGCGAGGAGGCGCCAUGGAGGAGGAGAGGAAGGAGGCCGGCUGAUACGGGAGGUUGCUGGGGUCCCGUUCCUGCAGUUCAAAGCGAAGGCAGGCCGACGGACUUGGGGCUCGGGCAGCAGCAAGGAGGCGAUGGUGGUGGUCAGCGGCAGGAAGCGGUCACCGGGCUUGUGGUGACAAUGACGACGAAUAGAGGCGCGCGGAGAAGCAGUCGUCUGGCGAUGGAGCAGAGGCGUCCAUGGCCAGCGACCCAAGGCGUCGAAGAUGACCAGAUCCGGGCCAGCUCGGGUUGGGGAGGCGAGGCCGGACAUGAGGACGAGGCGGAGGAGGAGCUGCAGAGGAGUGGCUAGAGAGUCGAUGGGGCGACGCUCACCGGAGUCGGGCCGAAAGGGACGGGUCGAGGGGCUCCUCCCCUGGCGACGGAGCUGACGAGGCGAAGGCGCCGGGUAGACGAGGAGGCAGGCGAGGAGGUCCUGGCCCGGUGGCGAACUUGAGGGGAUCGGGCGCGGGCGCAGGUGCUCCUCUCGUGUGCGAUGCGUGUGUGUGCGUGUGUGGCGGCGGGUAGAGGGAACAAGAGGGAGAGAGAUGCGUGGGGGCUGGGAUCGGUUGGGGCUAGGGUUAGCAGUGGUGUAGGUGGGCUUAAGGGGAAUUGGGCCGGUCUGGGCUGCGGGCUAGAGUUGGUGGGUUGCUCUCUCUUCCAAAAACAGAAGAGAAAUAAUAGAAGGAAAGAAAAGGAGAGAAAACAAGAUGUUAGAGAAGCAAUUUGGGAAUGGAGUUAAUUUUCUUGGGCUCAUCGAAAAGGUCUUGAUCCAGAAAAAUUGCAAAGAUACGUGUCAAAGGGACUGAAUACAACCUCAUUUGAAUUACAUUCAAAAGAGUUUAAAUAGGAAGUGGGAGUUUGGAAGGUCCAAAAAUGUUCGGAUUUUUGGUGGAGCUCCGGAAUAUGAUGAAAGAAUAUAUGGCAAGGUUGGGGACCAAGAAUUAAGAUAACAAAGGCAUUGGGAUAAUUUGCAAGUGUGUUGCGGUUAAUUCCAAAUAAAUGGAAUAAAUUUAUUAUAGCUCCCUAAUAUUGGGAGGAUAUGUUAUAAAGAGAAGUCACCCUGUGAAUUCCCUCGUUUUAAAUAGAUCAAAGAUCCAUACAAUUUUAUUUAGAUGAGUUUUUAAAAGGGAUGCAAGAUGACAUGAUGCAAUGCACAUGAUGCAGAGAUGAAUGCACGAACAAAACAAAAUCACACGAUGAAACUCGGAAAACAUGGAAGGCGUCUGGAGCGCCGGUCUUGGGGCGUCACACGUAUCUCAAUGGAUCCUUAUCUUAAUGACCAUCCCUAGAAUCGAGGCGUCCUUGUAGCUGGAUAACCCUGUUUUCGGCCUCCUCACUUUUCGCGCGCACUUAUCAGUCUUCCCUUAUAAAUAGACACGACUACGUCUCUCCUCAUUCUCGCCUUUCCUCAUCUUCUUCCUCUCGCAACCCUACUGCCGCACGAGCUCCGCCGCCGCCGCUGGGCACCUCGUCUUUCUCGACCUUGGCCAUUAGACCCCUUUAUAAGACGCCAUCUUGAAUAUGCAUUGUAAUAUUUUUCGCCGGCUUAAAUUUGAAUCAGAACUUUUUACUCUUUCUUAGGCUUUCAUCACAAUGGCACCCAAACCACAUACUUCAUGCAACUGGGUCAAAUCCAUCGUCACAGACAGUACACUUGAUGACUUUGUGAAGACCGGUUAUCUGCCAGAGAAGGAAGUUAUGUCAUACCGUGCUCCUGACCCGUCGGAGGAAAAGCCACAACCCAAAGAUGGGGAGGUCAUUGUCUUCACUGACCAUAUGAACCGGGGUUUUUCACCACCCGUCUCAAAAUUCUUCAGGAACGUCCUACACUUCUUUGACCUCCGUCCUCAAGACAUCGGACCCAAUUUCGUGUCUAAUAUUUGCAAUUUUCAAGUGUUUAGAGGUAUAUCUUGGAGAAGAGCCCAACAUACUACUCUUCAGAGAAUUAUUUUACUUAAACCGCCAGAAUGAGUGUGCCAACGGACAAAUCUUGGAACUUGGUGGCGUCUCAAUCCAAUGUCAGAGAGAUGUAACUUUUCCUUAUGCCAACCCACCAAGCCAUCCCAAAGACUGGAACCAGACAUGGUUCUAUUGCCAAGACACUUCUCCGGCUGAUGAGAACCCUCUGCCCGGUUUUCAUGCUCUACGUCUUGAGUCCAAUCAUCAGCUUCCUGACAAGAUUACAGCCGCUGAACGCCAGACGCUUGCCCCCACCAAGGCUAAAAUCAAGGCUCCUUUGGGGAAUGGGCUGAUACGUCUCCAACGUAUCUAUAAUUUUUGAUUGUUCCAUGCUAUUAUAUUACCCCUUUUGGAUGUUUAUGGGCUUUAUUUUACACAUUUAUAUCAUUUUUGGGACUAACCUACUAACAUGAGGCCCAGCCCGUAUUGCUGUUUUUUUGCCUAUUUCAGUAUUUCGAAGAAAAGGAAUAUCAAACGGAGUCCAAACGGAAUGAAACCUUCAGGAGCGUGAUUUUUGGAACGAACGUGAUCCAAAGGACUUGGUGUGCAAGUCAAGAAGCAUGCGAAGCUUCCAUGAGAUAGGAGAGCGCCCCCCCCUAUAGGGCGCGCCCUCCUAUCUCGUGGGCCCCUCGGGCGUCCACCGAUGUACUUCUUCCUCCUAUAUAAGCCUACGUACCCCGAAAACAUCUAGGGAGAACCUGAAACACAAUUUCCAUCACCGUAACCUUCUAUAUCCGCGAGAUCUCAUCUUGGAGCCUUUGUCGGCACUCUGCCGGAGGGGGAAUCGACCACGGAGGACUUCUACAUCAACAUCCUUGCCCCUCUGGUGAGUUGUGAGUAGUUUACCACAGACCUACGGGUCCAUAGUUAUUAGCUAGAUGGCUUCUUCUCUCUUUUUGGAUCUCAAUACAAUGUUGUCCCCCUCUCUUGUGGAGAUCUAUUCGAUGUAAACUCUUUUUGCGGUGUGUUUGUCGAGAUCCCAUGAAUUGUGGGUUUAUGAUCAAGUUUUUCUAUGAAUAAUAUUUGAAUCUUCUUUGAAUUCUUUUAUGUAUGAUUGAGUUAUCUUUGCAAGUCUCUUCAAAUUAUUAGUUUGGUUUGGCCUACUAGAUUGAUCUUUCUUGCCAUGGGAGAAGUGCUUAGCUUUGGGUUCAAUCUUGCGGUGUCCUUACCCAGUGACAAAAAGGGUUGCAAGGCAUGUAUUGUAUUGUUGCCAUCGAGGAUAACAAGAUGGGGUUUAUAUCAUAUUGCUUGAGUUUAUCCCUCUACAUCAUGUCAUCUUGCUUAAUGCGUUACUCUGUUCUUAUGAACUUAAUACUCUAGAUGCAGGCAGGAGUCGGUCGAUGUGUGGAGUAAUAGUAGUAGAUGCAGGCAGGAGUCAGUCUACUUGUUACGGACGUGAUGCCUAUAUACAUGAUCAUGCCUAGAUAAUCUCAUAAUUAUUCGCUUUCCUAUCAAUUGCUCGACAGUAAUUUGUUCACCCACCGUAAUACUUAUGCUAUCUUGAGAGAAGCCACUAGUGAAACCUAUGGCCCCCGGGUCUAUCUCUUAUCAUAUUUGCUUCCAGUUUACUUUUAUUUGCAUCUUUACUUUUUGCAUCUAUAUUAUAAAAUACCAAAAAUAUAUUUAUCUUAUCUUAGUAUCUUUAUUAGAUCUCACUUUCGCAAGUGGCCAUGAAGGGAUUGACAACCCCUUUAUUGCGUUGGUUGCGAGUUAUUUGUUCGUUUGUGUAGGUGUGUGGGACUUUUGAGGAGCCUCCUACUGGAUUGAUACCUUGGUUCUCAAAAACUGAGGGAAAUACUUAUGCUACUAUUGCUGCAUCACCCUCUCCUCUUCAAGGAAAACCAACACAAGCUCAAGACGUAGCAAGAAGGAUUUCUGGCGCCGUUGUUGGGGAGGUCUUCUCUCAAGUCAAGACAUACCAAGUACCCACCACAAACCCAUCUCCCUCGCAUUUACAUUAUUUGCCAUUUGCCUCUCGUUUUCCUCUCCCCCACUUCACCCUUGCUGUUUUAUUCGCCCUCUGUUUCCCUAUCUUCUUCUCCUUUUUUUCCGUUUGCCUUCCCGUUGCCAUGACCGAAUCAAAAAGAACUAUGGGCCCUUUCCUAGGUUCUUGUACCUUGGAUAACCCCUCUAUCCUCUCUAAGCUCAUAAAUAAUGAUGCUAUAGAAAGACCCAUAGGGGUCCCCAAUGAGAGCUUGAAUAAUUUUGAUGAGGAUGACUCUGGAAUUUUUCGUAUUUACUUGAUGAGUCUUUAAAAUAUGCUUGGGAUAGGUUAUUAAGGAUUUGGGCUAGCUAUGUGCCACAAUAUCAAAUUGAAGAUUACUUAAAAAGUUUUUAUGUUGGCUUGCCCGCUUCUUUUAAACAAGUUUUAGAUUCUAUUUUUGAAGGAGGUUUUCUUGAAGGGGAUGCUAUAGAUACUUAUGAAAAAAAUGAAAACCAUACUUGGGCACCCUAUGAAUGAUAAAGUUGAAUCAACUACUCUCUUGUGCUUUUAUCAAAAUGAAAUUAUUAAAGAGACGAAGUCUAGUUUAGAGGCAAACUUCCGUAACGUGCUUAAUCUUACUUCUGCCAUUAAUGGCCAUGUGCUUACCUUAAAUAGAAGAAUGAAUGCCAUAGAAAGGAGAUCCUCCUCUCCAAGUACCAAAGAUGGUACUACUUAGCUCUAUCUUUGCUUUUAUGCCUAGCUAGGGGCGUUAAACGAUAGCGCUAGUUGGGAGGCAACCCAAUUUUCUUUACGUUUUUUGUUUUUGCUCCUGUUUAUUAAUAAAUCUUGCACCUACCUUAUGUUUAGAUGUGUUUUUAUCUUUUAAUUAGUGUUUGUGCCAAGUAGAACCUAUAGGAUAACCUAUGAUGAUAGUUGAUUUGAUUCUGCUGAAAAACAGAAACUUUGCACGCACGAAAAUAAUUUUGUUAAAUCGCAGGAACAUGCUUUUGUGUUGAUUCUUUUUGAUGCUUAUCAAUAAACAAAUUUUCCAGGACUUCCUAUUUUGGUAGGAUUUGUAAAGUUCCAUAAGUUUGCGUUAGUUACAGAUUGCUACAGACUGUUCUGUUUUUGAUAGAUUCUGUUUUUCGUGUGUUGUUUGCUUAUUUCGAUGCAUGUAUGGCUAGUAAAUUAGUUUAUAAACCAUAGAGAAGUUGGAUUACAGUAGGUUUAACACCAAAAUAAAUAAAGAAUGAGUUCAUUAUAGUACCUUAUGUGGUGGUUUUGUUUUCUUUCACUAACGCAGAUUAUAAGAUUUCCUGUUGAGUUUUGUGUUGUGAAGUUUUCAAGUUUUUGGUGAAGCUUUUAUGGACUAUGGAAUAAAGGGUGACAAGAGACUAAGCUUGGGGAUGCCCAAGGCACCCCAAUAUAUUCAAGAAUAUCCAAAAGCCUAAGCUUGGGGAUGCCCCAGGAAUGCAUCCCCUCUUUCGUCUUUGUUCAUUGGUAACUUUACUUGGAGCUAUAUUUUUAUUCGCCACAUGAUAUGUGUUUUGCUUGGAGCAUCGUGUAUUAUAUUAGUCUUUGAUUUUUAGUUUACCACAAUCAUUCUUGCUGUACACACCUUUUGGUAGAAGCCCAUUUGAUUAGGAUUUGCUAGAAUACUCUAUGUGCUUCACUUAUAUCUUUUGAGCUUGAUAGUUUUUGCUCUAGUGCUUCACUAUAUCUUUUAGAGCACGACGAUGGCUUAUUUUUGAAGAAAUUUCUAGUCUCUCAUGCUUCACUUAUAUCUCUUUGAGAGUCUUUUAGAACAGCAUGGUAUUUGCUAUGGUUAUAAAAUUGGUCCUAGAAUGGUAGGCAUCCAAGUUGGGUAUAAUAAAAACUAUCAUAGGAAGUGAAUUGGAUGCUAUGAUCAAUUUGAUACUUGAUAAUUGUUUUGAGAUACGGAGGAAGUGAUAUUAAAGUCAUGCUAGUUGGGUGAUUAUGAAUUUAAAGAAUGCUUGUGUUGAAGUUAGCAAGUCCCGUAGCAUGCACGUAUGGUUAAAGUUGUGUAACAAAUUUGAAACAUGAAGUGUACCUGGCUUGUGCAUCCUUAUGAGUGGCGGUCGGGGACGAGCGAUGGUCUUUUCCUACCAAUCUAUCUCCCUAGGAGCAUGCGCGUAGUACUUGAUUUUUGAUGACUUCUAAAUUUUUGCAAUAAGUAUAUGAGUUCUUUUGACUAAUGUUGAGUCCAUGGAUUAUACGCACUUUUACCUUUCCACCAUUGCUAGCCUCUUCGGUACCAUGCAUUGCCCUUUCUCACCUUGAGAGUUGGUGCAAACUUCGCCGGUGCAUCCAAACCCCAUGAUACCAUAUGCUCUAUCACACAUAAACCUCAUUAUAUCUUCCUCAAAACAGCCACCAUACCUACCUAUUAUGGCAUUUCCAUAGCCAUUCCGAGAUAUAUUGCCAUGCAACUUUCCAUCGUUCCGUUUACCAUCAUCAUGACAUACUUUACUUUUGUCAUAUUGCCAUUGCAUGAUCAUGUAGUUGACAUCGUAUUUGUGGCAAAGCCAGCAUGCAUUAUUUUUCAUACAUGUCACUAUUGAUUCAUUGCACCAUCCCGGUACACCGCCGGAGUCAUUCAUAUAGAGUCAUAUCUUGUUCUAGUUUCGAGUUGUAAUUCCUAUGUUGUAAUCAAUAAAAGUGUGAUGAUCAUCAUUAUUAGAGCAUUGCCCAAAAAGAAAAGAAAAAGAAAAAAAAGAAAGGCCAAAAAAGGCCCAAAGAAAAAGAAAAAAAAAGAGAAAAUAAAUAAAAGGGGCAAUGUUACUAUCUCUUUUUCCACACUUGUGCUUCAAAGUAGCACCUUGUUCUCCAUUUAGUGAGUUUCAUAUAUUGUGCUUUAAAGUAGCACCAUGUUUUUCAUAUAGUGAGUCUCAUAAGUUUUCUUUUUCAUACUUGUGGGAAUUUUUCAUUAUAGAACUUGGCUUGUAUAUUCCUAUGAUGGGCUUCCUCAAAUGCCCUAGGUCUUCGUGAGCAAGCAAGUUGCAUGCACACCCACUAGUUUUCUUUUGUUGAGCAUUUCUUUAUAGCUCUAGUGAUGCUGUUGCAUGUCAAUCCCUACUCCUCAUGUUGACAUCAAUUGAUGGGCAUCUCCAUAGCCCGUUGAUUAUCCUCGUCAAUGUGAGACUUUCUCCUUUUUUGUCUUCUCCACACAAUCCCCAUCAUCAUAUUCUAUUCCACCCAUAGUGCUAUAUCCAUGUUCACGCUCAUGUAUUGCGUGAAGGUUGAAAUUUUUUGAGAUUAUUUAAGUAUGAAACAAUUGCUUGGCUUGUCAUCGCUGGUAUAGAAGUUGUGAAUAUCUUUGUGUGAUGAAAAUGAAGCAUAGCCUAACUAUAUGAUUUUGUAGGGAUGAACUUUCUUUUGCCAUGUUAUUUUGAGAAGACAUGAUUACUUUGAUUAGUAUGCUUGAAGUGUUACUAUUUGUUUUAUCAAUAUGAACUUUUAUUUUGAAUCAUUUGGAUCUGAAAAUUCAUGCCACAAUAAAUAAAAUUGCAUUAUGAAUUAUGCUAGGUAGCAUUCCACAUCAAAAAUUCUCUUUUUAUCAUUUACCUACUCGAGGACGAGCAGGAAUUAAGAUUGGGGAUGCUUGAUACAUCUCCAAUGUAUCUAUAACUUUUUAUUGUUCCAUGCUAUUAUAUUACCCCUUUUGGAUGUUUAUGGGCUUUAUUUUACACAUUUAUAUCAUUUUUGGGACUAGCCUACUAACCGGAGGCCCAACCCGUAUUGCUGUUUUUUUGCCUACUUCAGUAUUUCGAUGAAAAGGAAUAUCAAACAGAGUCCAAACAGAAUGAAACCUUCGAGAGCGUGAUUUUUGGAAUGAACAUGAUCUAGAGGACUUGGAGUGCAAGUCAAGAAGCAGCCGAAGCUUCCACGAGAUAGAAGGGCGCCCACCCCCCAAUAGGGCGCGCCCCCCUAUCUUAUGGGCCCCUCGGGCGUCCACCGACGUACUUCUUCCUCCUAUAUAAGCCUACGUACCCCAAAAACAUCCAGGGAGCACCUGAAACACAAUUUCCAUCGCCGUAACCUUCUGUAUCCGCGAGAUCUCAUCUUGGAGCCUUCGCCAGCACUCUGCCGGAGGGGGAAUUGACCAUGGAGGGCUUCUACAUCAACAUCCUUGCCCCUCCGAUUAGUUGUGAGUAGUUUACCACAGACCUACGGGUCCAUAGUUAUUAGCUAUAUGGCUUCUUCUCUCUUUUUGGAUCUCAAUACAAUGUUCCCCCCCUCUCUUGUGGAGAUCUAUUCGAUGUAAACUCUUUUUGCGGUGUGUUUGUCGAGAUCCGGUGAUUUGUGGGUUUAUGAUCAAGUUUAUCUAUGAAUAAUAUUUGAAUCUUCUCAGAAUUCUUUUAUGUAUGAUUGAGUUAUCUUUGCAAGUCUCUUCGAAUUAUCAAUUUGGUUUGGCCUACUAGAUUGAUCUUUCUUGCCAUGGGUGAAGUGCUUAGCUUUGGGUUCAAUCAUGCGGUGUCCUUACCCAGUGACAGAAAGGGUUGCAAGGCACGUAUUGUAUUGUUGCCAUCGAGGAUGACAAGAUGGGGUUUAUAUCAUAUUGCUUGAGUUUAUCCCUCUACAUCAUGUCAUCUUGCUUAAUGCGUUACUCUGUUCUUAUGAACUUAAUACUCUAGAUGCAGGCAGGAGUCGGUCGAUGUGUGGAGUAAUAGUAGUAGAUGCAGGCAGGAGUCGGUCUACUUGUUACGGACGUGAUGCCUAUAUACAUGAUCAUGCCUAGAUAAUCUCAUAAUUAUUCGCUUUUCUAUCAAUUGCUCGACAGUAAUUUGUUCACCCACCGCAAUACUUAUGCUAUCUUGAGAGAAGCCACUAGUGAAACCUAUGGCCCCCGGGUCUAUCUCUUAUCAUAUUUGCUUCCAAUUUACUUUUAUUUGCAUCUAUAUUAUAAAAGACCAAAAAUAUAUUUAUCUUAUCUUACUAUCUUUAUUAGAUCUCACUUUCGCAAGUGGCCGUGAAGGGAUUGACAACCCCUUUAUUGCGUUGGUUGCGAGUUCUUUGUUUGUUUGUGUAGGUGCGUGGGACUUUUGAGGACCUCCUACUGGAUUGAUACCUUGGUUCUCAAAAACUGAGGGAAAUACUUACGCUACUAUUGCUGCAUCACCCUCUCUUGUUCGAGGAAAACCAACACAAGCUCAAGACGUAGCAUGGGCUAACUGGCAUCGAUUUAGUCCGGAUUUGGCUUGCCUGGCGGGUCAUUCCAUUCAGCCGCCGCCCUGGCCUGAUGUGCACCUAUACAGGCAAGAAAGAUGACCCUCUGCGGCAUAGUUCUGAUGAUUUGCCUGACCACGUCAUCAACGACAUGACCAAGUCUCUCCUGAAUGAGAGCCUAGUAGACUGCGACAAGGUGGGCUUAAGCCCCUUCUGCGAAGCUAACCCGGCUCCAGCGGUAAGCCGCCGCCCAUCUGAAUAAAUUACCUUCGUCUUUUGAUGUUUCCUCUGUACUCAUACUUUUGUUGAUUUUCAUAGGCUGGUGAUAAAUUCUGGAAGGUUAAAUAUGAUCAUGAGGCUGCAAAGAAAUCCAGGAAGGCCAAGAGAGCCGCUAGGAAAUAGGCUGCGAGGAAGAAGGGCAAGAAGGCCACCGCCUCUGACUUGCUUCGGCUAGAAGAUUCUUCUGAGUCAGAGGUAGCCCUUGACUCUCUUGGCUCCUUUUUUAACCAUCUUAUUGACGCUGAUUAUCAGCAGGAGGACACAGGAACAAGUCAUGGUAAGGAUGAAGAGGUAACUAUCAUUUCCUCCAACUCCGAGCCUUUGCCAAGACAGAGAAUCCGAAGAGUAACCCGAAAAGUAAGAUUUUCACAUCCCUUAGCUUAUCAAGAUCCUCAAUUUCUUUUGAAGCGACAGAUUCACGAGAGCCGGAGGCAGACCCGGACCAGCAAGGAUGCGGAACUCUCCUCCGGCUUACCUAAUACACCAAGGAAGCGUCGGAGCGAGGUCACCUCCGAUUUAAAUCACUUUUAUCCUUUGGCGGGUCUCACUCAUCAACCACUCAAUUCUUCUGACUCGAAUUACCAGGAAACUUCACCUUCCUCCGGCGACUCAAUGCAGUUCAAUUUGCCUGCUUUCAAGACCUCUCGAGGGUAAUGAUGACUUGCUUAUCUUGUAUUCAUUUCCAUUCAUUGUAUUUGCACUGACCUUUUAAUCUUAUGUAGCGGAAAAGCAAAGCGCAGCAAAAAGGUGAAGAAGAACAAGCCGGCCGAAGAGCUGAUCUUCAAAGAGCCGAAACUUAGCACGACCGCCCCUAAAGCCUCUACUCAUGAGACGCCUCCUGAGCCAUCUCAUGACACGCCAAAGCCAAUUGCUGACCUGCCUUUCGAGCGAGCCGCCGAUGGCUCUGAAAAUCCGGAAGUCCCUAGCCUGGCCAGGACGGAUGAUCCUCAAGACCCUGAUGUCGAGAUUACCAAAACCGGCUAUAUUGAGCCGGUAAGACCAACUGUGCUGGCCAAAUGUUCUGCCAAAGAAGAACUCCUGGAACGUCGCAAGGCCAAGUUUGAUGUUGUUGAUUAUACUCACAUGAGUAUUGGAGAAGUUUUUUCUGGCUAUCUGAGCCAAGUACACAGCAGCCGUGACACUGAAAUUGAUAUGAUGAAGCAGAUGCACCAAAAGUUUGAGGUAGAAUCCCUUCUCUGUAUUGAUUUAUCCUUACUAUGCCAGCCCCCAAGUCUAUUGCUUAUGAUGAAUAUGUUGUAGACUUAGAAACAAGCUUAAUAACAUUAGUGAUAUAUUUGGAUAACAUAUAAGAAAAAAAGGCUUACUCCGUAGUCCCCAAGGGCCGGCUUAAUCAACAUGGUUAAGCUGGUCCUUCAUAUGUUUGUAUAGAAUAAAAAUACUUGUAAACCUUUUAACAGCAAUAUGCAUUAUCCCCCAAGUGCCAAGUACUCUUGCUUGCAAAGUGCUUGGGACUUACUCUCAUGAAUCGCCACCUAUGUAAAAUUUCUGCGGUAGACACUAGACCCCAAGUGCCAAGUGUUGUUGCUUGCAAAAGGCUUGGGACUUAAUAUUCUAUGAUACCAGUCAUGAUUUUGACCCGGUAUGUGUACAUGCCACCACCAGUCAACUUGAAUUAGAAGUGUCUGACUUGAAGAACCGCCUGGAAGCACAAGAGAUGGAAACCCAAAGAGCCAAUUCCAAGUUUGAAUUUAGUAUAUCUGAAUAAGAGACACUGAAAAAAGACUUUGAAAUGGAGAAAAAGGCCUGGGCUGAUGAAAAGAUUGCUUUGAUCAAUCGAGCUGAGAAAGCAGAGGCGGCUCUUGAAGAGGCGAUUGUCAAAUUAUCCGGCUUAAAGCGCCAUGUCUCUCAGAUGGUCUCAGCAAUCUUUGGUAAGUCUCCCUGCAAGUGUCAAAUAUUUGAAUCUUUGUAGUGAUCAUAUAAAUUGUUAUUAACUCACCUUACAUUGUUAUGCAGGCCCGAGGAGUUCAAAUCUUAACCAAGAUAUGCUGAUAAAGCUGAAGGCGGUUUACACGCUGGUGGAACAACUCUACACCGGGUCUCAGCGUGCCUUGGCCGCAGUGGCUCUGUCAAAUGAAGUGCCCACACUCCUGGCGGAUGUCCUAAGGAAACUCUCUGUGCUGCCCCUGCGGUUCGCUGAACUAAGGCGAUCAUCUGCAAGAGCCAGAGCCGUGGCUGCCUUAAGCCGGGCCAAAGCUUGGCUACCGGAGUUAGACCCGGCCGACAUCGCCAUUGGUUAUCCAAGCCUUAAGGAGGAUGGCACUCCCUUUGAACAAGAAGACUUCGCCGCUUGUGUGAAGGAGAUACGCCCCGUGGCUACCCUAAUAGCUAAUGAAGCGGAUCUCACCAAGUACCAGCCGGUUUAUGACGCGGAGAACCGAAGAAUUCCAACGCCACAUUAUAAAGUGACCAGCCUGAUCCCACUACUCCGUAAGCAUACCUUCGCCCCUGAAGUUGACCCGGCUGGACUAAUUGAUGAUGAAGCUGAAUUUGAAGCUUUGAAUGGCAUUGACUGGUCAUCGUCAACCUUCCAGGAAAGGGAACAGGGCGAAGAAGCGGAGAGGGCUGACUCGGAUGCUUCAGGUCAACACGAGAGUUAAUCCACCAGGCGGCUCAUACCUGUGAUCUGCUCAAAAACAAUAUUAAUCAUUUGGACUCGGGGAGUCAUGUAAUAGGAUAGAAAUGACGUUGUUUUGCCAUGCCAUCGUGCACGUGUUUGGUGCUCAACACUGUUAAGCCGCCAUCUUGUAUUCACCCGUACUAUAAUUAUCAUCUGUUUUCCUUAUGCUUUAGCAAGUCUCUCAACUGUCCUGCACACAAAAACAGAUCACAAGAUUCCUUGGUGGCUUACUGCAAGGCGGGUCAUAAUAUCUUUACAUAUAACCAUUAAUAUGGAGAAAAGAAUCACAGAUAAGCCUGUUGUGAAAUAUAAUUUUGAAACACAACUAUAACACCAUACUUGUAAUCUUUGAGUUUCUACUACCGGUUUUAUGUGCCCCGAACAGUAAGGGUGAUAACGCAAUCUUUGGAAACCAACACUUCCAAAUAUAUGACGAUUCUCAUAUGUUGGCGACUUAUCAUCCAAAAUCAAGCCGGGUUAAAUUUAAACCACAUUUACACUUAGAUCUUUGAACAAAAAAGUCUCAAGUCAAACAAAGGCUACUUUCAAAUAAAACUUAAACCAAAUAAGAAGAAACAAUCAAGGCUUCUGAUUCUAAUACGAUCAGUAAACCGUUCCAAAGGGGUUAAGCUAGGAUUCAAAUACGAUCAUGUAGCCCCCAGUGGCUUUGGCAUCGCCGAUCAAGAGGGUACCGGCAACUAUGUUCUCUUUGGUUCGAAUACGACCUAUGUUUGAACAAGAAGCCCCCUAAUGACCUUGAGAGUUUUUUAACGACUCUGAUUCGAAUAUGAUCAAAGUCGGUUCCCAAAAGGGGUUGAGCUAUAAUUCGAAUACGAUCAAGAAGCCCCCUAAUGAGCUUGGCAGUGUGCCAAUCAAUAGGGUACCAACAACUAUAUUCUCUUUGCUUCGAAUACGACCUAUGUUUGAACAGGAAGCCCCCUAGUGAUCAUAAGGUUUAACGGCUAGAUUCGAAUACGAUCAUGAGCUGGACCAAGAGGGUUAAACUAGAUUCAAAUACGAUCAGCCCCCAAUUGGUCAUUGGAAAUGACAAUGACAAAGACAUAUCAUCAUUGAGGGUGAAAAGGAUAGAGGUCCUGCUUUAUUGCUUAUCAUAAUAUAUACAUCAUCAAAAUAUGUACAUCAUGAGAGCCGGUGGCUCAACUGUUGUAAGGCCGCAGAUGAGCGAUAUUCCACGGCCGGCGGGUCUCCUCCUCCGACUUACGUGAGUCUUUGUGCUCUCGAACAUCGAUAAGGUAGUAUGACCCAUUGUUUAAGUUCUUGCUGACCACAAAGGGCCCUUCCCAAGGUGGGGAUAACUUGUGUGCAUCAGUUUGAUCCUGGAUGAGCCGGAGCACUGAUACGUCUCCAACGUAUCUAUAAUUUAUGAAGCAUUCAUGCUAUAUUAUUAUGUAUUUUGGAUGAUUAUGGGCUUUAUUAUACACUUUUAUAUUAUUUUUGGGACUAACCUAUUAACCGAAGGCCCAGCCUAUAUUGUUGUUUUCUUGCCUAUUUCAGUGUUUCAAAGAAAAGGAAUAUCAAACAGAGUCCAAAGGGAAUGAAACCUUCGGAAAAGUUAUUUUUGGAACAGAAGCAAUCCCGGGAACUUGGAGUGCAAGCCAGGGAAGCGUCGAGGAAGCCACGAGAUAGGGGGGGCGCCCACCCCCCUGGGCGCGCCCUCAACCCUUGUGGGCCCCUCGAGGCUCCCCCGACCGACUUCUUUCGCCUAUAUAAGUCCACAUACCCUAAACCCUUCGAAAAACACAAUAGAUCGGGAGUUCCGCCGCCGCAAGCCCGUGUAGCCACCAAAAACCUCUUGGGAGCCUGUUCCGGCACCCUGCCGGAGGGGGAUUCCCUCACCGGUGGCCAUCUUCAUCAUCCCGGCGCUCUCCAUGAUGAGGAGGGAGUAGUUCACCCUCGGGGCUGAGGGUAUGUACCAGUAGCUAUAUGUUUGAUCUCUCUCUCUCUCUCUCUCUCUCUCUCUAUAUAUAUAUAUAUAUAUAUAUAUAUAUAUAUAUAUAUCUCGUGUUCUCUCUAUGGCACGAUCUUGAUGUAUCGCGAGCUUUGCUAUUAUAGUUGGAUCUUAUGACGUUUUCCCCCCUCUACUCUCUUGUAAUGGAUCGAGUUUUCCCUUUGAAGCUAUCUUGUCAGAUUGAGUCUUCAAUGAUUUGAGAACACUUGAUGUAUGUCUUGCCGUGCUUAUCUGUGGUGACAAUGGGAUAUCACGUGAUCCACUUGAUGUAUGUUUUGGUGAUCAACUUGCGGGUUCCGCCCAUGAACCUUUGCAUAGGGGUUGGCACAUGUUUUGGUCUUGACUCUCCGGUAGAAACUUUGGGGCACUCUUUGAAGUACUUUGUGUCGGCUGGAUAGAUGAAUCUGAGAUUGUGUGAUGCAUAUCGUAUAAUCAUGCCCACGGAUACUUGAGGUGACAAUGGAGUAUCUAGGUGACAUUAGGGUUUUGGUUGAUUUGUGUCUUAAGGUGUUAUUCUAGUACGGACUCUUGAAUAGAUUGAUCUGAAAAAAUAACUUUGAGGUGGUUUCGUACCCUACCAUAAUCUCUUUGUUUGUUCUCCGCUAUUAGUGGCUUUGGAGUGACUCUUUGUUGCAUGUUGAGGGAUAGUUAUAUGAUCCAAUUAUGUUAUUAUUGUUGAGAGAACUUGCACUAGUGAAAGUAUGAACCUUAGGCCUUGUUUCCUACCAUUGCAAUACUGUUUACGCUCACUUUUAUCAUUAGUUACCUUGCUGUUUUUAUAAUUUCAGAUUACAAAACCUAUAUCUACCAUCCAUAUUGAACUUGUAUCACCAUCUCUUCGCCAAAAUAGUGCACCUAUACAAUUUACCAUUGUAUUGGGUGUGUUGGGGACACAAGAGACUCUUUGUUAUUUGGUUGCAGGGUUGCUUGAGAGAGACCAUCUUCAUCCUACGCCUCCCACGUUUUGUUAAACCUUAGGUCAUCCACUUGAGGAAAAUUUGCUACUGUCCUACAAACCUCUGCACUUGGAGGACCAACAACGUCUACAAGAAGAAGGUUGUGUAGUAGACAUCAAGCUCUUUUCUAGCGUCGUUGCCGGGGAGGUGUGUGCUUGAAGGUAUAUCUUUAGAUCUUGCAAUCGAAUCUUUUUGUUUCUUGUUUUAUCACUAGUUUAGUCUAUAAAGGAAAACUACAAAAAAAUGGAUUUGAGUUUGUCUCAUAUGCUUCAUCUUUUUAAUAUCUUUCAUGAGAAUGAUGGAAGGGAAAAUUGUGCUCAAUUGCUAGAAGAAGAAUGCAUUAAAAUGCUUGGCACUAAAUCUUUGAAUGAUGAGCAUGAUUGCAAUGUUGUUAGUAUGAAUUCCUUGAAUAUCCAUGAUGCUAAUGAUAUGCAAAGCCACAAGCUCGGGGAUGCUAUGUUUAAUGAAGAUGAUAUUUUCAGCAUCCCAAGUUUUGAUAUGCAAAGUUGUUAUGAUUAUAGCAUGCCUCUUACCUAUGAUGAUUAUAUUGAUGAAAGUGGAUUUGGAAGAGUGUCAACUUUAUUUAGUGAUGAUUCCACUAUCUUGGAAGAGUUUCAACCGAUUAUGAUGAGACAAAGUUGCUACUUAUGAUGAUUAUUGUGAUGACUUGUAUGCUAUUAAGAAUAGUGAUAACCAUGAAACUUUUCAUCAUGAUUUUAGUUUUCAAUUGGAUUAUGCUUCACAUGAUAGUUAUUUUGUUGAGUUUGCUCCCACUACUAUUCAUGAGAAGAAAUUUGCUUAUGUGGAGAGUAAUAAAUUUUCUAUGCAAGUAGAUCAUGAAAAGAAUGCUUUAGGUGUUGGUUAUAUUGUUGAAUUCAUUCAUGACGCUACUGAAAAUUAUUAUGAGGGAGGAACAUAUGCUUUUAGGAAUUGCAAUAAUGUCAAGUUUCCUCUCUAUGUGCUUAAAGUUUUGAAGCUAUGCUUGUUUUACCUUCCUAUGCUAGUUGAUUAUUGUUCUCAUAACUUGUUUGCUCACAAAAUCCCUAUGCAUAGGAAGUGGGUUAGACUUAAAUGUGCUAGUCAUAUGCUUCAUGAUGCUCCCGUUAUGUUUCAAUCCUUAUCUUUUAUGUGAGCAUCAUUGUCAUCAUCAUGCCUAGCUAGAAAGGCAUUAAAGAAAAGCGCUUGUUGGGAGACAACCCAAUAUUUACCAUUACUGUUUUUGUGUGUGCACAUGAUUAUGCUACUGUAUUAAUCAUGUUUUAUAGCUUUUGUUUUAAUAAAGUGCCAAGUAAGACCUUUAGGAUAGCUUACGGUGAUAGUUGUGUUGAUCCUGCUGAAAAUCAGAAACUUUUGCACCCAGUAAAUUAGUUUUUCUAAUUAACAAAAACGUGAUUUUGAUCAGAUUCUUUUUGCUCUGGAUUGGUACACAAAUUUCGUAGGACUUCCUAAUUUGUUAGGAUUUUUGGAGUUCCAGAAGUAUACGUUUGAUACAGAUUACUACAGAUUGUUCGGUUUUUUACAUAUUCUGUUUUCUUUGUGUUGUUUGCUUAUUUUGAUGAAUCUAUGAGUAGUAUCGGAGGGUACGAACCAUAGAGAACUUGGAAAACAGUAUAUAUCACACCAUUAUGAAUUUAGAAUGUGUUCAUUACAGUACCUAAGUGGUGGUUUUAGUUUCUUAUACUAACGGAGCUUACGAGUUUUCUGUUGAGUUUUUGUGUUGUGAAGUUUUCAAGUUUUGGGUAAAGAUUCAAUGGACUAUGGAAUAAGGAGUGGCAAGAGACUAAGCUUGGGGAUGCCCAAGGCACCCCAAGGUAAUAUUCAAGACAACCAAGAGCCUAAGCUUAGGGAUGCCCCAGAUGGCAUCCCCUCUUUCGUCCUUGUUAAUCGGUAACUUUCCUUGGAGCUAUAUUUUUAUGCACCACAUGAUAUGUGUUUUGCUUGGAGCGUCAUUUUCUUUUGUUAGUAUUUGCUUGCUGUUAUUUAGAAUAAUGCUUUUCAUCUAUAUUUUCAAUAAAAAAAAGUCAAGGAUAGCCUUUACCAUGCUUAUUUUGUUAGUAUACAUGUUGCUGUUUGAAAACAGAAAGUUUACCGCUGUUGCAAAAAUUCCCUAGAAAAGUAAGAGAAUGAUAUAAUGUUGAAACUUUUUGCAUACUGAGCUAUGAUAAAUCUUCUACAGCGUAGUAUUUUUCUCACAAUUUUUAGAGUUAGGGAAGUAUGAUGAAUCUUGCAUUCUUUAUAGACUAUACUGUUUUGGCAGAUUGCUGUUAUGGUUGCAUUGUUUGCAUAUGUUUGCUUGUUUAAUGAUUUUAUUUGAGGAUAGGACUAUUAAAUAUGCAGAGGUAUUUAGUAUGCAAUGCUGAAUAAUAAUUUUAGUGAUUUGUUACAGUAGAAAAUGAUAAGGUUUUGCAUUGGUUUAUACUAACCUAUCUCACGAGUUCUUGUUAAGUUUGGUGUGGAUGAAGCUUUUCGAUAAAUAGAGAAACCAUGAUAUGAGAGGAAUUAAUGAGACACAAAAGUUCAAGCUUGGGGAUGCCCAAGGCACCCCAAGAUAAUAUUUCAAGAAUUCUCAAGCAUCUAAGCUUGGGGAUGCCCUGGUAGGCGUCCCACCUUUCUUCUUCAACAACUAUCGGUUAGUAUCGGUUGAACCUAAGUUUUUGCUUCUUCACAUGAGUUGUGCUAUCCUUGCAAUGUCAUUUUGUUUUGUUUUGCUUGCUGUUUGAAUACAAUACCAAGAUCUGAAAUUCUUAAAUGAGAGAGAGUCUUCACAUAGUUACAUAAUUAUUUAGCUACUCAAUGAUCUUCACUUAUAUCUUGUUGGAGUAGUUUGUCAUUUACUCAUGUGCUGCACUUAUAUCCUAUGAUUAAAUGGUUGAAUGAGUUGAAUGUCAUAAAUCUGAAAUUAUAUAUGUUUCAUAUGCUUACCCCGUUGAGAGUAAUGACUUCACAUCUAAGGAGUAGAGGUUGUAAAUUUAUUGAAGGUUAGCAAGCAUUGUAUUGGUCAUUUGAACAAUUCAUGAAAGAAUAUUGAAGGAAGAGAGAUUUCACAUAUAACUAUACUAUCUUAGACAUCUUUUAUAAUUGUGAGCACUCAUUAAGUAUGACAUGCUAAAGAGUUGAUGUUAG
rnacentral:lncRNA from 1 species